rnacentral:rRNA from 1 species
AGCGAACGCUGGCGGCAGGCUUAACACAUGCAAGUCGAGCGGGCACUUUCGGGUGUCAGCGGCGGGCGGGUGAGUAACGCGUGGGAACGUGCCCUCUGGUUCGGAAUAACUCAGGGAAACUUGAGCUAAUACCGGAUACGCCCUUUUGGGGAAAGGCUUGCUGCCGGAGGAUCGGCCCGCGUCUGAUUAGCUAGUUGGUGAGGUAACGGCUCACCAAGGCGACGAUCAGUAGCUGGUCUGAGAGGAUGAUCAGCCACACUGGGACUGAGACACGGCCCAGACUCCUACGGGAAGCAGCAGUGGGGAAUAUUGGACAAUGGGCGCAAGCCUGAUCCAGCCAUGCCGCGUGAGUGAUGAAGGCCUUAGGGUUGUAAAGCUCUUUUAUCCGGGACGAUAAUGACGGUACCGGAGGAAUAAGCCCCGGCUAACUUCGUG